GGUCUGCUGGGCUCGGCCUGCAUGAGCUCAGUCUUCUGGGCUCGGCCUGCAUGAGCUCGGCCUUCUGAGCUCGGACGUCGGAUUCAGGUGUUCUGAUUAUAUUUGUGGGGUGGUUCAUUUUUCCCCCAACACUACGAAUUCUAUUAUAUUGGAUUCAAACAAAGAUGUCGUCAAUUGAUGACCUUCUCAAUGCAGUGAUCAAGAAAAAGCCCCACCUUUUUUCCCCCUGUAGUACGUACUCAUUGGUUCUUCCGUGUAGUUGGUAAAUCCAGUAAUUAUAAGGUCUCGAUCUCCUGCAUAUUGCUAUAGUAAUUCUAUGAGAAACUGAUCACAUUUCUCAGAUUCACUGAUCAUUCUAGUUAUGAACAUGCUUGCUGACAUGCACUGCAUGUGUACUAAUUCACGCUGAAUUCAGAUUUUGAGAGGGUGACGGUUCUGUUAUUCUGCAAGUUAAAAUCGAGUUUAGGUAACUGUUGCUGGAAUCCACCUAAUAAAAAAUUGGCCUGGUAUUUGCCGGCCCAAACCAAAACCAAUGAGGUUUCGAUUUAGCUAAUUCAAACAUUGGUUUAGCUCAAGUUGGUUGAGGUUACCCAGGCUCUAAUCGCACCCCACCGUGCAGUAGCAUGAUCCCAAGGGUUGGCCUCAGACUUGCUUCAUCACAUCCUUCAAGAUAUUCAUGAGGAGACGCCGUAUUGUACACCAUGAUGGAUUCGAGAUGGUAUGAGUGCUAGGUUAGUAUCAGAGGGAAGAGUUUGGAGGAUAAGCAUUUAAGCAUUAGAGUUUAGAACUAGAAUCAACAAGAGAAUCAAGACAAACUAAAGCAUAAACAGCCUUUUCAUUCUAGCUAUCUUGGCAUUGAUGGCGAGAAACAAGCCACAUCAAAAGAAUUAAAAGCAAGGUAGAUUUAGUGGAAAGUUGCUUUUAUGGCAGUCAUUAUGUUCUUUGAAUGUUUUGGAAAAAAGGUGUUACUUUACAACUUGGUUGAUGAUGCAUGCAUUUAAACAUAGGCUAUAAAGAAGGUUGAAGCAUCUGAGAUCAGCUCCGAGAUGAAAACAUUGAAGUAAAUCAAUGAUAAAGCUAGGAUGAUGAGCAUAGUUGACCAAUUAAACUUGUGGAGGAGCAUCUUUUAUAGUAUGAGCAUGUGAAACAAUGAUCCAGGAAGGUCCAUACGAGAGAGAGGUCAUAAACUCAUAACUAGCAUUGAAGGGUUAGGGAGAUGAGGAGAUGGUAUUAUGAGAAAAAGAACCUAGUUGUAAGUCAUGAGAAAGGAUUUAAGAAAAUUUGUGCAUAAAUAAUGAAGAAAUUAACUGGAAGAAGAAUUCAGAGAGCACAUGUGGUUGAGCCAAGAUUUUUUGACUAUAGUUACAAGUUGAUAUGUUGAGGAGGCAGGAUGAAUUGUACAAAGAAUGUACUACAGCUCUGCACGGUGGGUUGCUGUUGACUAACAAGAAUUUUAAUGCUAUAAGAGAUGCAGUUCAGAAAGCUUUUCAGAAUGUUGACUUCAAACUCUUGAUUUGGUGAGCACUCAGUUUUCUUUGCAGAGUCAUGAGAAAUCUAAAUCAUAAAGGAUAUCGAUCUAUUCUAGCAAACAAUCUUUUUCAGAAAUGUAAUAAAUGUUCAUCUAAACUAUCAUAAAUUUUAGGAUUUGUUUGGUGUUUCUUCUGUGAACAGAUGGGGAAUGAAGUUGAUUCUGGCGCAACAGCUACCGUAGUGUUUCUGGGGAAUGAUAUCCUGAUUAUUUCGCAUCUUGGUGACUCAUGCAUGGUAUUCUCCUUUUAUUUUCUACCAUUCUUGUUGAGCAUCAUUGCAAACUGAUAUCGUGGGAUAUGUCUUCCACCAAUGCCUGUGCAAUUUGCAAAUUGAUGAAUCUCAAAAAGAAAUCCUUAUUGCUUUAGAAUGAAUUACAAAUGCACGUAAUAUCCUGUAUGUGAAAGGCUGAAGUUCUAACAAAUCCCCAUCAACCUUUUGGGAGCAACAGACUAUUUCUUGAAUAAGUCAAGCGAAUUAGAGCUGCAGGUGGAUGGGUGUGUUUUCCUUUUCUUUUUUUAAUGCAUACUUUAUAGACACAAUUUUGAGUUCUGAAGCAAAUUUUAGCUAGUAUCUUUGCACAAGUUGCUAUCAAUUCUAUUUACGUAGUUCUCUGUUAGUCUCUUUUACUUGGGAUUGUGUGAAAUGCAAUAAUUUUAAUAAAGUUAAUGAUUAAAAUUAACAUGGUGCGUAGGUCAUAUGUAAUAUUGCAUAGAUGUAUGGAUCACUCCAAGGUCAAGUUGGGCAUAUUUAGUACGCUCAUUCGCUGAAGUAAUUCUGCAUAUCAAGGAAAUUUAAGUAAACACUCAUGGAAUUGUAGCAGGCCAUGUUCUUUUGCUUUAAAUCUAGGGGCAUAAAUGGGUCACAUUAGCUGCAUUUUUUCAAGUUUUUGUUUGACAUCCAACUGACUUGGAAAUGAAGUAACAUGCUUGGGGUCACAUUUUAGCUUAUCCUCAAAAUUCUUGACUUCAAGCCCCAGCUGUUGUCAGGAUGGGCUGGAAAUUUCUAGAGGGCUUCUUUCUCUGAUUUUUCAAGCAGAUCCUGAAUUUUUCAACUUUUGCUGUGUCUGCUGGAACCAGAUCAACCACGUUACUUCUGGAUUGGGAUACUGGUUGAUCCAACCUGUUCAAAGGCCUAAGGCAGCUUUUUGAUUGUUGUUCUCCCCUGACCACUCUAGAUUAGUCAUCAUCCUGUUUCCAAUAGAUGAUGCUUCUUGUUUAAUUGUAUAACACCCAUGCUUUUACUUCUAUGGUUAAACUUACUUUUGUAGUUGGUAUUUUGGCUUUUUUGUUUUGGCCUUGCGCUUCUAGUUUCGAUAAUUGCAUCGUAGGCUGAAUUACAUGUUUUGGUUGUUUAUAGCGGUACUCUACUAGUGGUAUGGAAGGAUUAAGUUUUACUUUAACUAAAUGUGUUAGAUUAUUUGUAAUGUAUCCAUAUUCUUUGUAUUUAACCACAUUCAGUGCCAAUGUACAGUUUUCAACUUUUCAAAUUCCAAAUUUUAUGCCUCUAUCAAACAUUUUUUAACUAAUGGGUCUUUCCUUGUCCUUCUCUUUUUCCCCCCUUCUACUUAUAUGCAUAAAUCUCUGUUGAUAUUACAUUAGAUAUAGUUUACUAAUAUUCUAAAACAGUUGUUUGUUUUUAUGUCCGUCAAAUGUUAUAUGCCAAUAGUGGCAUUCCAUGUUUAGUAUGAUCGAUAUAUUGCCUGUUAAUUUGCUCUCACAAUCAAGUGUAAUUUUUUUUCAAAGGAUCCCUAUGAUUUCUUAUAAGCAAUUAUCAGGUUGCUGUCCAUUUUCACAACUUGUAUUUUGUGAUGCUUAUGCUGAUUUAUAAUGACCGCAGACUGCUGAUGGACUUAUUUGUAGUGACAUCCCUGCAUCUCGCACUUUUGGAGACAUGCGAUUUAAGACAGAAGAAUGACAUACAGUUCAAAGGGGAGUUCGCGACCUCUUCACGGGACAUAUAUCAAGCAGAUCUUGGAUCUGAUGUGGAGUUUAUAUUGCCAGUCUCUGAUGGUUUAUGGGAUUAUAUGAAAAGCUCUGAUGCAGUAACUUUUGUAAGAAAUCGACUCGGCCGACAUGGUGAUCUUCAGGCGCAGGGUUUGCUAUCUUGAUUUCUUGUCCCAGAUCUCUGUAACUUGCAUGACCAAGUCCAAUUUUCUCUCGGUUUAAUUUCAGCCGGCUUGCAAUGCACUUGCUCAUAUGGCUUUGGACCGACCAUCGCAAGAUAAUACAAGCAUAGUGAUUGCCAACCUGAGAUAACCACCUAUAGAUCCUUAAAAAUGUUUUGUGGAGCCGUUCAUUGUUGAUUUGCUGCCUAUUCUUUUUGUCCAUGAGGACUUGUAGGAGGACAGAUCGGCAGAAGUUGCCAGAUUAGGGGCCAAACUUUGUAUAUGAAGUCAAGCUUUCGCAACCAUCGGUAUUAUCUCAUCAGGAAUCUGGAUAUCAUCUUUCCUUCUAUCAUGAAUCAGAAGCCUCGGAAUGUACAUAAUUUUUUAGAUAGAUAUCAACUCCUUGAUGUAUACGUGUGAAUUUGUAAAUCUACGUAUCAUAUAUUUUUUGAUGUUGAAUGCUGUUUAUGAGUAAUUAUCUGCCUUUAUUU